CUUUGACAUGGUUUGGUAUUUUAAUUAUAAUUAAUUGUACAAAUUAGAUAUUAAGUUGAUUCUUUUUCCAUUAGAAAGUAGACUCGAAUAGCUUCGAUUCGAGUACUUAUACGCGUAAUUCCGACAUCGGGAAGGGGUUCAACCGGACUGGCAAAGUUGUCAAAAUCAGACUCACUCGCUGUACGCGUUUUGGACGCGUUUUGAACGCGUUUUGGACGCGUUUUGAACGCGUUUUGACUCAGUAAACGCGUUUUACUAUUUAAACACGUUUUUCUGGUUAUUUAAGAGGGUUUUGGGGCUGAGAGAAUUCCUAAGUUGAAUCUGAGAACUGUUACCUAAAAGCAUUGGACCAGAGAAGUUUUAGAGCUAAGUUUGGAGCCACGAGAAGGAAUUCUAAGACAGAGGAACGUCGGGGAACCGUUUGAAAGCAAGCUUAGGAGAAAACCAUGGAGAGGCGUUGCUUGAGGAAGCGCUGGAAGAAGAAGAUUUGGAGGACGCCAAUCUGGUUGAAGUAGAGGUUAAAGCCGAGCCCUAGAGCGCUCGUUAGUUGUAGCUUUCGUUUUCUGUUAGCUUUUGGACGUUCGGUUAAAGUUUGUAAAACCGUUCGUCUCUAAACUUUGAAAUACUGCUGCAUGGUAUUUUAUCUCCGUACGUGAGAACGUUCGGUUUUGUAAUUUUCGUGAUUAGUGUAAGACUGCA
rnacentral:sRNA from 1 species